rnacentral:ncRNA from 1 species
AACCACUAGGGGUGCCCUGGACGUCUUCUUUGGCGGUUAGGGCUGAGAUCACACCCUCCGAACCUGAUCCGGGUCAUGCCGGCGCCAGGGAAGUGAAU